GUCGAGAAUCUUUCACAAUGGGGGCAACCCUGAUGGAGCGACGCCGCGUGGAGGAUAAGGUCUUCGGAUUGUAAACUCCUGUCAUGCGUGAACAAGGUUGCUUGGUUAAUACCUGGGCAAAUUGAUGGUAACGCAAGAGGAAGAGACGGCUAACUCUGUGCCAGCAGCCGCGGUAAUACAGAGGUCUCAAGCGUUGUUCGGAAUCACUGGGCGUAAAGGGUGCGUAGGUGGCGUGGUAAGUCAGAUGUGAAAGCCCGGGGCUCAACCUCGGAACUGCAUCCGAUACUGCCAUGCUAGAGUACUGGAGAGGUGACUAGAAUUCUCGGUGUAGCAGUGAAAUGCGUAGAUAUCGAGAGGAAUACCAAAGGCGUAGGCAGGUCACUGGACAGUUACUGACACUGAGGCACGAAGGCCAGGGGAGCAAACAGGAUUAGAUACCCGUGUAGUCC
rnacentral:rRNA from 1 species